rnacentral:rRNA from 1 species
AUUGAACGCUGGCGGCAGGCCUAACACAUGCAAGUCGAGCGGAUGAAGGGAGCUUGCUCCUGGAUUCAGCGGCGGACGGGUGAGUAAUGCCUAGGAAUCUGCCUGGUAGUGGGGGAUAACGUCCGGAAACGGGCGCUAAUACCGCAUACGUCCUGAGGGAGAAAGUGGGGGAUCUUCGGACCUCACGCUAUCAGAUGAGCCUAGGUCGGAUUGGCUAGUUGGUGGGGUAAAGGCCUACCAAGGCGACGAUCCGUAACUGGUCUGAGAGGAUGAUCAGUCACACUGGAACUGAGACACGGUCCAGACUCCUACGGGAGGCAGCAGUGGGGAAUAUUGGACAAUGGGCGAAAGCCUGAUCCAGCCAUGCCGCGUGUGUGAUGAAGGUCUUCGGAUUGUAAAGCACUUUAAGUUGGGAGGAAGGGCAGUAAGUUAAUACCUUGCUGUUUUGACGUUACCAACAGAAUAAGCACCGGCUAACUUCGUG